rnacentral:rRNA from 1 species
UACGGAGGGCGCAAGCGUUGUUCGGAAUUACUGGGCGUAAAGGGCGCGUAGGCGGCACGGCAAGUCGGGAGUGAAAGCCCGGGGCUCAACCCCGGAGGGUCUUCCGAAACUGCCGAGCUAGAGUGCGGAAGAGGCAACCGGAAUUCCCAGUGUAGCGGUGAAAUGCGUAGAUAUCGGGAGGAACACCGGUGGCGAAGGCGGUUCUCUGGGCAUUACCUGACGCUGAGGAGCGAAAGUGUGGGGAGCGAACAGG